UAUUGGACAAUGGGGGGAACCCUGAUCCAGCGACGCCGCGUGAGUGAAGAAGUAUUUCGGGAUGUAAAGCUCUGUCAGCAGGGAAGAAGAAAGUGACGGUACCUGACCAAGAAGCCCCGACUAACUACGUGCCAGCAGCCGCGGUAAUACGUAGGGGGCAAGCGUUAUCCGGAAUUACUGGGUGUAAAGGGAGCGUAGACGGUAAUGUAAGUCUGGAGUGAAAAGCGGGGGCCCAACCCCCGGACUGCUCUGGAAACUAUGUUACUGGAGUGCAGGAGAGGUAAGCGGAAUUCCUAGUGUAGCGGUGAAAUGCGUAGAUAUUAGGAGGAACACCAGUGGCGAAGGCGGCUUACUGGACUGUAACUGACGUUGAGGCUCGAAAGCGUGGGGAGCAAACAGG
rnacentral:rRNA from 1 species